UCCGAAGGGGGCUAGCGUUGUUCGGAAUUACUGGGCGUACAGCGCACGCAGGCGGAUUGAUAAGUCAGGGGUGAAAUCCCGGGGCUUAACCUCGGAAUUGCCUUUGAUACUGUCUGUCUUGAGUCCGGGAGAGGUGAGUGGAAUUCCUAGUGUAGAGGUGAAAUUCGUAGAUAUUAGGAAGAACACCAGUGGCGAAGGCGGCUCACUGGCCCGGAACUGACGUCCAUGUGCGAACGCGUGGGGAGUAAACAGG
rnacentral:rRNA from 1 species